rnacentral:lncRNA from 9 species
CCCAACCUUUGAGGUUUCUACAUUUCUGUCCUCCACCUGAUCAUUUUUCACAUCAUGUGUGGAAGAAAUUGAAUAUGAAGCUAGAAGACAGAGAGGAGAGAAAAAAAAAAAAAAGUCCAAAGAGCUCACGAAAGGAAAUGUGACAGAGACAGGGAGAAAGGGAAAACACUGGGAGAGAAAAGAUGGAAGGAAAAAACGGAAAAGGGUUUCCGAUUUUGUUCUUUUCCAACCUGGACAAAAUGCACCAUUAUACCCUGGGGAGGGACACGGACUCUGAUAAAGAAUCUCCUACGACCAAAGAUGUUUUAAAUGAACCCCUGCCGUGUGCAAAAUCAUAUGCUGAAAAAGACAGAAACUCCAAGCAUUCAUUUCAUCAACUCAACACAUUACUCCUUAUUUUCACAAGUGGUGUGUAUGGGAUAGUAAAUCUUAAUCGUUUCAUUACUUUUAAUUACACCUGACAUUGUUUUUUGAGUGUAGGCAAAAUGGUUACUGUCUGCUAAAAUCUGAGGAAACAAAAGUGAAAAAUAUGUUAUUCGAUCAAAUUUAUCAUCUCCCCUAUUGCCUCUCCAUCCUGAAGACAUUAUAAAUAGUUAUCCUGGGUGAAUGUUGGAUAAGUAGGACAUGGGGAUGGGGCAGGCCUUCUUCAGAUAUACUUUAGCAGAUCAGAAAUAGAGGCUAGGUAUAUGAAAGAGUAUUUUCUUUGGUUGCUGUUAUUCUUGAGUUAAACCUUAGGAAUGUAUGUAUCACCACAGAAUUCUGGACAGCCAGGCUGCUUUGUCUGUCAGAUGGUAGGUUCUCAUGUUCACUUGUUCCUUGCAGAUUGGAGGAGAGAACAGUUGCAGAAUGAUGAUCUUCAAAAGAAACUCAAUCAAGUCCAGAAAGAAAUGGCUAGGAUGAUGGCUCAGUUCAAGGAUGAUUGGAGGAGAGAACAGUUGCAGAAUGAAGGACCUCAGGAAAAACAUGGUAAAGCCUCUUUUAUACCCCCUCACCCCCCAAACACUGUAGAACACCUGCGUUUGUGGUGUUGUAGAGAUAUCCCAGCUUUUAACCAACGUGUCACCACUGGCUUGCCCUCUCCAGAUCUCUGCUAUUCUGGCACAAUAUUGCAGUUAGGGACUCUCCCAUAUUCCCCUUCUCUGCUCUUGCAAAGCCUGUAUGUUCCAACAUAGUCUGUGGGUCAAGUGUAAACUCAAGGGGCAUCCCUGCACUGCCUCUGAGCACAUGACCCAAGUGUCCCCAGGUAUUCGAAGACUUCCCAUUGUUUUACCUAGGAAUUUUUUAUUUAGAACCAAUGAGAGUAAUUUUCAUUCUUUCCUUUUUACUUCAUUGACACAGCUGUCAAUUUUGCAAACUCCAAAUACUUCAAAUAUUUGUAGAAGGAUUCAUAGCUUAAGGAAAGACCAAUAAUAAUCAUAAUACAUUUUUGAUUUCUAAGUUUUCAUGCGAAUGACACAAGGAACUACUGUCCUACAAUGUUCCCAGAAGGCUUUUCAUAAAACGCAAACGUAGUCCUUAGAAGUUUAAUACCCUGUUUUUCUAAUGACAUUUUUGUCAGUGUCCUUUCGUUUUCAGAGGGAAUCAAAUUCACCUCUCAAUGCAUGUAGCUGGCUUCAUGUAGCCCCUGCUACAGGCCUUGCUUGCAACCAAUGGAAGUUUUUUCCUCUCUGCUUCCUCCUCUUUUUCAAGUAACUCUGCCUUGUGCGAGUGUGUAUCUCCAUGUUAGACUGAAAAGGGGACCGAAAUAAGAGGAGCUUUAUUUUGCAUGAGUGAAAAUAGAAAUCCACCCCCCAAAAGUUAUGUAAUCUUUGCAGAGUGAAAUGUGAACACAGACAGGUUCCCAAGAGCCAAACCCUGCAUCUUCUCUAGCAGCACCUCUUGAGUAUCCUCUAGUCCAUUGUUCAUGGAUACCUUAUAAACAAAGUUACGACAAGGAAGAGAAGUGGUGAUUUGUAUUUGGCAGUGACAAAGAAUGCCUUAAAGGUAUCCAACCAAAGAGUAAGGUCCCGAGCGUUGUCCAGAUAAUUUAAGAGCUUUGUACAAGGUAACCACCAUCACUAAUGAUCCUGAAAUUUUUCCACCAGACGUAACAUCAUUUUUUUUUUGGCUUUAAUUUUGGACCGGUAAUCUCAGGACAAAAGCAGCUCUCAGGCACGCUGGUAAUAGGUGUGU